AACAAGCCUGGCGUGCUGAGUGCAGGGCACAGACCACUGGAAACUAGACCUCGCUGUACAAGGGAGAGGUCACCUUUCCUUAUAUUCAUCCAGGCAAGGAGGCAUGGAGUCCAGAAUCUUGGAGGAGAAUGGCACAUCCAGAAUAAGACCCACAUAAAGAGAAGAGAAGACAUGAAGUGGGGCCAGAGCCACAGCUAACAUAUAACAUGAUGAGAGAUAAACCUUUGUGUGGAAUCCCUUCCCUUGCGAAGUCUUUCUGACCCACCCACCCAGCAUCAGUC
rnacentral:lncRNA from 1 species